rnacentral:tmRNA from 1 species
GGGGAUGUAAUGGUUUCGACAGGGAUGAACGGGGUUUGAUAAGCGAGCAUCGGCUCCGCAACCGAUUUGACAAGCGGAAAACUUAAUUAUAACUGCGAACGAAGAGUACGCACUGGCGGCUUGACCGCCACGUCGCCUGACUGAUUCCCUUCCCGUCAGGUCAGUGUCGACGUCAGAAACGGGAAUACCGCGCUUGAGAGCACUGUAGGGCGCGGGAACUUCCAAAGUGCUUGGCUUUAUCAAGUUUGUCGUCGAGGUUGGUAGAGCUGAAAUUUUUCGGCGACUGCGCUCGGAGAAAGUUGAGCAACGGCAUUUUUGGACAGGAGUUCGAUUCUCCUCAUCUCCACCA